AAACAAGUAAGCUAAGUAAAGCUACUGGGUUCAUACCUCAGUUAUAAAGUAAUCCUCCUUUCUUGUUUA
rnacentral:tRNA from 1 species